rnacentral:rRNA from 1 species
CCUACGGGAGGCUGCAGUGAGGAAUAUUGGUCAAUGGACGAGAGUCUGAACCAGCCAAGUAGCGUGAAGGAUGACUGCCCUAUGGGUUGUAAACUUCUUUUAUAUGGGAAUAAAAUGUUCCACGUGUGGGAUUUUGUAUGUACCAUAUGAAUAAGGAUCGGCUAACUCCGUGCCAGCAGCCGCGGUAAUACGGAGGAUCCGAGCGUUAUCCGGAUUUAUUGGGUUUAAAGGGAGCGUAGGUGGAUUGUUAAGUCAGUUGUGAAAGUUUGCGGGUCAACCGUAAAAUUGCAGUUGAAACUGGCAGUCUUGAGUACAGUAGAGGUGGGCGGAAUUCGUGGUGUAGCGGUGAAAUGCUUAGAUAUCACGAAGAACUCCGAUUGCGAAGGCAGUUCACUGGACUGCAACUGACACUGAGGCUCGAAAGUGUGGGUAUCAAACAGGAUUAGAUACCCUUGUAGUC